UAAUUGCACGCAUUUGAAAUAUUAUACCAUCAGUUACUUGGCAUCAUUGCCGUAUUCAUCGUGAAGCUAUUGUCUCUAAGAAAAUACCAACUAAAAGAAGUUUUAGAUGAAGCUGUAAAAAUUGUGAACUUUAUAAAAGCCAAAUCAUUAAAUUCAAGACUUUUUGAACAACUUUGCAAGGACAUGGAUAGUGAAAAUUAUCAACUUCUAUUACAUUCUGAAAUUCGUUGGUUAUCUCGGG